rnacentral:tRNA from 1 species
GGGUUAAAGUUUUAAAAAUAUCUACAUUGCAUUUAGAAGAAACAUAUAUUGUUAACCUGAC